rnacentral:tRNA from 1 species
AGCCCCAGAGGUGUUUACAUGUAGGAUUGCAACCCCUGAGUAGCGGUUAAGUCCGCCGGGGCUU